CAGAUGUACGAUGCUGUAGCAUAGAGUGAUUAGGACCCAGACUUUUGAGACCCACACAGCACACUGUUUGCUGAAUGUUGUGUUGGCAAAAAGCUAAAAUUACAAAGGGCAGUCUUCAGGCAGAGCUUUACCAUGCAAGUGUCAUUUGGGGUGCCACAUCCUUUGUGUUGAUGCACCAGUUUUAGCACUGGGAGAAAAUUUCAGUAACAAGGUGCAAGUAACUGGGGGGCAGGAUGGAGAAUUGAACUUACGUGGUUUAUUUGUUUUCCUUCCAGCUUUCCCCAGGUCUGUUUGUUUGCCUUGUGCUUGGCUCUGUGUCUCUGAUCCCGUCUGUCCUGGUUUUGUUCUCCUUCCUUUGUUGCUGAUGGUUUCAUGCUGUUUCCAUUCCUCUCCUUUCGUAUGACACAGAUUCUCUGCCUGAGCCAUGUCCAAGGUGUUGGACUCCCUGCAGUUACAGCACAGAGACUCGAUGCUGAGGACAUGACUUCCUGCUUCGCUGGCAGUGUCUGCAUUGUGACACUGGGAACUCUUCAUUUCUUUUUCGCUGUUGCUGGUCUCUUGGUAUUUACAAGAGACCAAGGUUGCACUAGUCUGGAUGAUCUACACACAGUGAGAAAGAGCUUUUUUUACAGUCAACACGGAGAAAACAGACAAAGAAGAAGCCCCCAGGGGAUGGAAAGUGCCUAGUGUCGUUCUGUAAUACAUUAUGGAGAGAAAUGAAAUGCAAAGCCCAUUGUGCAACAUGCAGCAGUGUCCAGACGCUUGGAUGAAGAGGUGGAACCAGUUACGUCUGUAUUUGGGAAAGCUGUUUGACAAGACGAAACGUGAAUUGUCUACGGAGUGAUGCCGUUUGGACACUUCAGAUGCUGAUGCUUUGAGGCCAUUCAGAACCUAAACCUAAAAUACAAUUCCUUGAAAAUCUAGUCCAAUUCAAGUGGAAAACAAAACAAAGCCCCAACAU